UACAGAGGUCUCAAGCGUUGUUCGGAUUCAUUGGGCGUAAAGGGUGCGUAGGCGGCGCGGUAAGUCGGGUGUGAAAUCUCGGGGCUUAACUCCGAAACUGCAUUCGAUACUGCCGUGCUUGAGGACUGGAGAGGAGACUGGAAUUUACGGUGUAGCGGUGAAAUGCGUAGAUAUCGUAAGGAAGACCAGUGGCGAAGCGGGUCUCUGGACAGUUCCUGACGCUGAGGCACGAAGGUCAGGGGAGCAAACGGGG
rnacentral:rRNA from 1 species